CAUGCUGUCUUGUUAGAGACGCAGAUGACUGAAACUUUGAGUCCAUGAGACACUAAUCAACAGAUGACCAUGAAUGCAGCUGAUGCUGUCAUUCCUGUGGAAAGCUCCCAGCAUGCUGUCUUGUUAGAGACGCAGAUGACUGAAACUUUGAGUCCAUGAGACACUAAUCAACAGAUGAAAGGCACAGAUGUUGAAGAUUCAAAUGAAGUAUCCGACUCUAUACAAGUUUGUAUUGUUGCUUUCAGUUUUGUCUUGAGAGAACGCAAAUGAGCAGGACUCAAUAAAAAGUUUAAAUGUAUAA